AUUGAACGCUGGCGGCAGGCCUAACACAUGCAAGUCGAGCGGCAGCGGGAAAGUAGCUUGCUACUUUUGCCGGCGAGCGGCGGACGGGUGAGAAUGCCUGGGAAAUUGCCCAGUCGAGGGGGAUAACAGUUGGAAACGACUGCUAAUACCGCAUACGCCCUACGGGGGAAAGCAGGGGACCUUCGGGCCUUGCGCGAUUGGAUAUGCCCAGGUGGGAUUAGCUAGUUGGUGAGGUAAUGGCUCACUAAGGCGACGAUCCCUAGCUGGUCUGAGAGGAUGAUCAGCCACACUGGAACUGAGACACGGUCCAGACUCCUACGGGAGGCAGCAGUGGGGAAUAUUGCACAAUGGGGGAAACCCUGAUGCAGCCAUGCCGCGUGUGUGAAGAAGGCCUUCGGGUUGUAAAGCACUUUCAGCGAGGAGGAAAGGUUGAUGCCUAAUACGCAUCAACUGUGACGUUACUCGCAGAAGAAGCACCGGCUAACUCCGUGCCAGCCGCCGCAGUAACAC
rnacentral:rRNA from 1 species